rnacentral:rRNA from 1 species
AAUCAACGCUGGCGGCGUGCCUCAGACAUGCAAGUCGAACGAGAACCUCCCUUCGGGGAGGAGACAGUGGCGCACGGGUGAGUAACACGUGGGUAAUUUACCCUUGGGUGGGGAACAACAGCCGGAAACGGCUGCUAAUACCGCAUAAUGCAGCGGCUCGACAUCGAGACAGUUGUUAAAGCGGGGGAUCGCAAGACCUCGCGCCUGAAGAGAAGCCUGCGGCGGAUAGCUAGUUGGUAGGGUAAUGGCCUACCAAGGCGACGAUCUGUAACCGGCCUGAGAGGGCGGUCGGUCACACUGACACUGACAUACGGGUCAGACUCCUACGGGAGGC